GGCGGCGUGCUUAACACAUGCAAGUCGAACGAGAAAGUUUCUUCGGAAAUGAGUAAAGUGGCAGACGGGUGAGUAACGCGUGAGAAUCUACCCUUUAGUUGAGAAUACCUUCGAGAAAUCGAAGUUAAUACUGAAUAAGUCCCCUCGGGGAGAAAAGUGGCUUAUUUUAGCUACUGCUGAAGGAUGAGCUUGCGUGCUAUUAGCUAGUUGGUGGGGUAAUGGCCUACCAAGGCGAUGAUGGCUAGUCGGCCUGAGAGGGUGUACGACCACACUGGAACUUAGACACGGUCCAGACUCCUACGGGAGGCAGCAGUGAGGAAUAUUGCGCAAUGGGCGAAAGCCUGACGCAGCGACGCCGCGUGAAGGAUGAAGGUUUUCGAAUCGUAAACUUCUGUUAAGUGGGAAGAAAGAAUCGUCUCUAAUAUAGACGGUAGAUGACUGUACCAUUAAAGAAAGCACCGGCUAACUUCGUGCCAGCAGCCGCGGUAAUACGAAGGGUGCAAGCGUUGUUCGGAUUUAUUGGGCGUAAAGGGCGCGUAGGCGGCUUAUUAAGUUUGUUGUUAAGUCUUCCGGCCUAACCGGGAAACUGCAACAAAAACUGAUUAGCUAGAGUGUAGGAGAGAGAAGUGGAAUUCUCGGAGUAGCGGUAAAAUGCGUAGAUCUCGAGAGGAACACCGAUGGCGAAGGCAGCUUCUUGGCCUACUACUGACGCUGAGGCGCGAAAGCGUGGGGAGCAAACAGGAUUAGAUACCCUGGUAGUCCACGCUGUAAACGAUGAUCACUAGAUGUUACCUCUGCUUGCAGAGGUAGUGUCGCAGCUAACGCGUUAAGUGAUCCGCCUGGGAAUUACGGUCGCAAGGCUAAAACUCAAAGGAAUUGACGGGGGUCCGCACAAGCGGUGGGACAUGUGGUUUAAUUCGAUACUACGCGAGAAACCUUACCUAGACUUGACAUGCUUUUGACAUCCGUGGAAACACGGCUUCUUAAGUUUACUUGAGCAAUUGCACAGGUGCUGCAUGGCUGUCGUCAGCUCGUGUCGUGAGAUGUUUGGUUAAGUCCUCUAACGAGCGCAACUCUUGCCGUUAGUUGCUAUCCUUCGGGAGCACUCUAACGGGACUGCCUGGGAAACCAGGAGGAAGGUGGGAAUGACGUCAAGUCCUCAUGGCCCUUAUGUCUAGGGCUACACACGUGUUACAAUGGCUGGUACAAAGAGUCGCAAGUUCGCGAGAACAAGCUAAUCUCAAAAAGCCAGUCUAAGUUCGGAUUGGAGUCUGCAACCCGACUCCAUGAAGUUGAAAUCGCUAGUAAUCGCGUAUCAUCACGACGCGGUGAAUACGUUCUCGGACCUUGUACACACCGCCCGUCACACCAUGAAAGCUGUUUGUACCCGAAAGCGCUUUAGCUAACCAGCAAUGGAGGCGAGCGAUGAAGGUAUGGAUGGUGAUUGGGGUGAAGUCGUAACAAGGUAA
rnacentral:rRNA from 1 species